rnacentral:rRNA from 1 species
UACGAAGGGGGCUAGCGUUGUCCGGAAUCAUUGGGCGUAAAGCGCGCGUAGGCGGCCCGGUAAGUCCGCUCUGAAAGUCCAGGGCUCAACCCUGGAAAGCGGGUGGAUACUGCCGGGCUAGAAUCCGGAAGAGGCGAGUGGAAUUCCUGGUGUAGCGGUGGAAUGCGUAGAUAUCGGGAGGAACACCAGUGGCGAAGGCGACUUCCUGGCCUGUUCUUGACGCUGAGGCGCGAAAGCUAGGGGAGCAAACGGG